rnacentral:rRNA from 1 species
GACGAACGCUGGCGGCGUGCUUAACACAUGCAAGUCGAACGAAGUGGCGAACGGGUGAGUAACGCGUAAUCAACCUGCCCUUCAGAGGGGGACAACAGUUGGAAACGACUGCUAAUACCGCAUACUGAAGGAGGGGAUUGCGUGUGAUUAGCUAGUUGGAGGGGUAACGGCUCAACAAGGCCACUAUGCAUCGCCGACGUAGGAGGGUGAUCGGCAAAACUGGGACUGAGACACGGCCCAGACUCCUACGGGAGGCAGAAGUAGGGAAUCUUCGGCAAUGGACGAAAGUCUGACGGAGCAACGCCGCGUGAGUGAUGACGGCCUUCGGGUUGUAAAGCUCUGUUAAUCGGGACGCGGUACCGGAAUAGAAAGCCACGGCUAACUACGUGCCAGCAGCCGCGGUAAUUC